rnacentral:rRNA from 1 species
UACGUAGGGGGCUAGCGUUGUCCGGAAUCAUUGGGCGUAAAGAGCGUGUAGGCGGUCCGGUAAGUCCGCUGUGAAAGUCGGGGGGCUCAACCCUCGAAUGCCGGUGGAUACUGUCGGGCUAGAGUGCGGAAGAGGCGAGUGGAAUUCCUGGUGUAGCGGUGAAAUGCGCAGAUAUCAGGAGGAACACCUAUUGCGAAGGCAGCUCGCUGGGACGUUACUGACGCUGAGACGCGAAAGCGUGGGGAGCGAACAGG